rnacentral:rRNA from 1 species
GACGAACGCUGGCGGCGUGCUUAACACAUGCAAGUCGAGCGGUAAGGCCCUUUCGGGGGUACACGAGCGGCGAACGGGUGAGUAACACGUGGGUGACCUGCCCUCAGCUCUGGGAUAAGCCCUGGGAAACCGGGUCUAAUACUGGAUAUGACUCCAUGACGCAUGUUGUGGGGUGGAAAGCCUUGUGCGGCUGAGGAUGGGCCCGCGGCCUAUCAGCUUGUUGGUGGGGUGANGGCCUACCAAGGCGACGACGGGUAGCCGGCCUGAGAGGGCGACCGGCCACACUGGGACUGAGACACGGCCCAGACUCCUACGGGAGGCAGCAGUGGGGAAUCUUGCGCAAUGGGCGAAAGCCUGACGCAGCGACGCCGCGUGAGGGAUGACGGCCU